GACGAACACUGGCGGCGUGCUUAACACAUGCAAGUCGAACGAUGAAGCCGGAGCUUGCUCUGGUGAAUUAGUGGCGAACGGGUGAGUAACACGUGAGUAACCUGCCCUUGACUCUGGGAUAACUGCGGGAAACUGUAGCUAAUACCGGAUACGACCCUCGGUGGCAUCUCCUGGGGGUGGAAAGAAUUUCGGUCAAGGAUGGACUCGCGGCCUAUCAGCUAGUUGGUGAGGUAAAGGCUCACCAAGGCGACGACGGGUAGCCGGCCUGAGAGGGUGACCGGCCACACUGGGACUGAGACACGGCCCAGACUCCUACGGGAGGCAGCAGUGGGGAAUAUUGCACAAUGGGCGCAAGCCUGAUGCAGCAACGCCGCGUGAGGGAUGACGGCCUUCGGGUUGUAAACCUCUUUUAGUAGGGAAGAAGCGAAAGUGACGGUACCUGCAGAAAAAGCACCGGCUAACUACGUGCCAGCCGCCGCGGUAA
rnacentral:rRNA from 1 species